GAACUGAAGAGUUUGAUCAUGGCUCAGAUUGAACGCUGGCGGCAGGCCUAACACAUGCAAGUCGAGCGGAUGAAGGGGGCUUGCUCUCUGAUUCAGCGGCGGACGGGUGAGUAAUGCCUAGGAAUCUGCCUGGUAGUGGGGGACAACGUUUCGAAAGGAACGCUAAUACCGCAUACGUCCUACGGGAGAAAGCAGGGGACCUUCGGGCCUUGCGCUAUCAGAUGAGCCUAGGUCGGAUUAGCUAGUUGGUGAGGUAAUGGCUCACCAAGGCGACGAUCCGUAACUGGUCUGAGAGGAUGAUCAG
rnacentral:rRNA from 1 species